rnacentral:rRNA from 1 species
UUGAAUUUAUCCCCCCCAAGAGGGCCCCCCCCCUCUAAAAUAUUUUCCCCCGGUUUUCCCCGGGGCCUCUUUUUUAAGACCCCCGGUGAAAAAACCCCCAAAAAGGGGGGAGAANUCAAAAUCCCCUAAGCCCCUUUUUUUCCAGGGGGUCCCCCGGGUUCCAAAUUUCUGCCGCCAAAAAGUGGACCUUCCCCCAGGGGGCGGGGGGGCUCCAAAAAACCGUCCUUUCGGGAGGAGUGUGCCCCCCCCCCCCCCAAAAGGAGUGCUGUGUAUAUCCAACCACCCCAGUGNCGGAAAAAAAAUUUCCCGGGCUUUACCACCCGCCCGUCACAUCACGAAAGUGGGUUGCACUAGAAGUCGGUGCGCUAACCGCAAGGGAGCAGCCGCCCAAGGUGUAAUUCAUGAUUGGGGUGAAGUCGUAACAAGGUAA